rnacentral:piRNA from 1 species
UGGAAGAAUGAAUCUUCUAAGGGCUGUGGA